rnacentral:tRNA from 1 species
GGGAAUAUGGCUUAAUGGUAGAGUGCUUGCCUAGCAUGUAGGAAACCCUGGGUUUGAUUUCUCAGUACCA